GUGAUGUCAACAGUCAGGAAGCAAAGUCCGACCCUCACACAAGCAUCUUGUCUGCCUCUAUCUAAUCGCCCAUCACAACAAAGCACUUUGCCCCCACCCCCGCCGCCCUUUCUGCUACAUCAUCAUGUGCUACAUCAGAUUAGCGCAGAGGACGGAUGCACUGUUACCUCCGCCAAGGAGAAUGCGUUCUUAUCUGUGUUCCAAUUGUUUUUGCGUUUGUGUGCAACUUCCUGCCUACACUUGUUGAUGCUUGAAUAAUGAUUGCAGCUUAUCAAGGGUGGUAGACUCGGACUUGAACUCAUCACGGCUACACUGUGGGGACAGACGUAUGAGGAUGCCUUCAGGCACAAUAAUCCCCAAGACGGACUACAGUUGGGACUGGACUACACAUUUAAAGCAACAGCCAUCAAGCCCCCCACGUGACCGUGGACCUUGCCGCCAGCAAGGUGCUGGGCGAGGCCCCCGCCGGCCCGGCGUAGAGGUGAGGCGAGAUGUUUGAUGAAGCGGAAGGUAACGCCGCCUGGCUCGGCUUCUCUUGCCUUGCUGUCGUGACGCACACCAGCAGACAGGUGGACGGAAAAGAAUACCUCCACGUUGUCCUCUCUAAUAGCAAGCCACGUCGGACCACGUGUUCUCGUUGGCUUCAGCGCCAUCCGUCAAGCGCUCACAAUCCAGCCUGUCGUGCAGAAAGGACGACAUCGAUCAUGGCGGUAGACAGAUGCUAAACAACAGGAACACCUGGGGGGAUGGUGAUUG